rnacentral:rRNA from 1 species
AGAUUGAACGCUGGCGGCAUGCCUAACACAUGCAAGUCGAGCGGCAGCGCGGGGGCGACCCUGGCGGCGAGCGGCGGACGGGUGAGUAAGGCAUCGGAAUCUGCCCUGAUGUGGGGGAUAACGUAGGGAAACUUACGCUAAUACCGCAUACGACCGAGAGGUGAAAGCGGGGGACCGAAAGGCCUCGCGCAGCAGGAUGAGCCCAUGGCCCAUCAGCUAGUUGGUAGGGUAAAGGCCUACCAAGGCUACGACGGGUCGCUGGUCUGAGAGGACGACCAGCCACACUGGCACUGAGAUACGGGCCAGACUCCUACGGGAGGCAGC